rnacentral:lncRNA from 1 species
AGAGAGAGAGGAGUAUCGUCAAACCUACUGCGAGCCAAGCACAGACUAUCCAUGCAACCCCGACAAACAAUACUAUGGGCGUGGAGCAUUACAAAUUACAGGGAAUAAAAAUUAUGGACCUGCUGGAAAGAGCAUUGGCUUGGACCUUUUAAACUCUCCAGAAACCGUGGCCUCAGACGCUGAUGUUGCAUUCAAGACUGCCAUUUGGUAUUGGGUGGUAAAUGUUCGUAAUGCUUUAAGUCAAGGAUUUGGAGCCACAACUCGAGCCAUUAAUGGUGCUAAGGAAUGCGAUGGUCAACAACCUGACCUAGUUCAAGCCCGGGCCGCCUUGUACCAGAGUUAUUGCAGCCAACUUAAUGUUGAUCCUGGCGCUAAUCUCAGUUGCUAGAAUGCCAAAACUUAUUAAUUAUAUGGAGAUAUCGUUAAUUGCCCCCUUUAAUAUGAUAUAUAUCAAUAUAUCUUUUUUUUUUGUUUGUUCCCAAGCUAGCAUGGAAGGAGAGGGCUACCUCCUGUUGUGUACUCCACCCAUUGAAUAAAUAAAGACUAUAUAUUUCUAUUGAAUGUGUUUUUUGUCAUUCGCUAAGGAGGAGGAUGAAGCAGAAUUAUAUUGGAUUGCCUCAAGAUUGUCUUCUAUGUGAAUCGAACCCGGGUGCACUAAGGGGGGAAUGUGAGAGUUUUGGCCUACUUUUUUUACCGUGAUGCCACCCCAUGUGCUGUAUUGAAUGUUAUAUAUAUUGUUGAAAAUUGUAGGAAUCUUUGUGAAGUCUGUUUAGCGAACAUUUGUGAUUGGUUUGAUAUGAAUAUGAGAUUAGUUGUGCUGAGGACUUGUUUUCUUCUAAAUUUGUUUAUAUAUCGGCUUCUACCCUAACUUGAGAAAGAAUAAAUACUCCUUGGCAGUAAAGAUUGCUUGGAAUACAAUUCGGGCUAAUUACCUGUUUUAAGCAACUAGAAACCCCAAUCAAAUAAGGUCAUAUAAGCCACAAUUUGACUCAAGAAAAAUUCAGGCCCAAACAUGAACAAAAGCGCAUAUUAUUUUAGCACGAAUAGUUCUGUACCCUCUAGAAUCUUGUUAUUUUCACAUAGCUCUUUCCUAUCUGCCAAUCUCUUCUCCCGAUUUGUCAUUUCUCAUCACUUUCUGUUGAUCCACUUUUCGGCAUCGAACCUAAAUUUCCCUCUCAUUUACUCAAACAAAGUUCCCAACUUUCUUCUCUGUCUCACUUCUAAUUGUUUCAAUCAAAUUGAACUGCAGGCAUGCGCAGAGAAAGUAAAUUAAGAUAUUUUUUAAAAAAAAGCAUUUUCAUUCAUAACCUUCCCGAGCUCAAAUAUUGAGAUUUCUUACAAGAAUUGCCAAUAUUCCUAGAGUCAUAUCACACUACACAGAUGAUAGAACUUCCCAACUUCUCAAGAGAAAGGGAAUCUAGAAUUAUUCUAACGAGUCAAAAAAGAAAGAGCUAUGCUACAGUCAAUCACCUGCGCGAGAUUAGGCCAUUUUUUACCAUUCAUUAUUGUGGGACACAAAUUUGAUUAAUGGUAAGAAAUUGCUCCCUUGUUCUUAUUUACGUUUGUCUUUCCUUCGAAGUCAUGAUCAUGUGGUGUUCUAGUGUUCCUAUUGUCAGUUCAUAUGGUAUAAGCUUCUCCUCAUUGUGGAUUGUAUUGGCACUAGUUUGCCAAGCACCUCUUUCUUUGCAUGGUCUCUGGGUCACUCGAACAGGAACCAACUCUCUUCUGUAAUCCAUGGUUCUGUCUUGAGGCAACAGUUUACUGUAUAUGGAAUCCAGCUGAUUUAUCUUUUCGAAUUCGAAAGCUACUUCUGCCAAGAAUGUUAUUAUAAGAUAUUGGCUGCUUUAAUUAUGAAGUUGGAUUAAGUCUAUUUGCUUUGUUUGAUCUAAUCAGAUCAUAUGGCAAUUUUGUUCAUAUAUUGACCAUUAAAAUUCCUGUGGAAGAAAUGACUAUCAUUAUCAUUGUUUUUGUAAGUAAUGUAUGGUAUCAAAAAAUAUUAAUACUGGUCCCUUCCUAUACGAUUAGUUUUUUGUCGCUACCUAAGUCUGGUGGCUAGGGUUUGCGUUGUCUAGUGCUCACGUCCUUUUGCAGAGAGCUCUUUCCAUGCCCAUAAGGCGUCCCUGUCUGCAUAGGAGUGACGAAGGUGACGGGCUCGUGACACUCUAGGGUUCGGCGUCGUGUUUUGUGAAGGUUUUUGGGCGAGAUCUAGAGUGGACUUUGGAGGCGUUGAAAGAUAUCGUUCAAGGAUUUACCACUAACCUGGCAAUCUCGGAGGUAGAUGCUUUCGAGAUUGUAGGCGUGGAGGAGCUGAGUAAAUUGAAGGCUGAUCGUUUCCUUUUGGUUGGGCGCUUACUCAUAACCAAGCCUGUCCAUAAAGAGCCGCUGUUUGGUACUAUGAAGAAUAUCUGGCGUACAUUGGAGGAUAUCACUGCGGUUCCUUUGGAUGUACCCGAGAGGUUUUUGUUCUCCUUCAAGUCUGAUCUUGAUCAUAGAAGAGUGUUGAGGAGUUCUCCUUGGACUUUUGAUAAGGCCCUGUAGUUGCUUGAGGCAACAAACGGUUAUGUUGAUCUGCUGACAAUUACUUUGGAUACCCAUAACUUUUGGGUAAAGGUUAGGCGUAUUACCCUCUUGUUCCUGACUCCAGCAAUGGGAGAGAAAUUGGGCAACUACCUUGGAUCUUUUUUCAUGGUGGAUCGCAGAUUGAAUGAGGAUUGUUCGGGCAGUUUCUUGCGCAUCAUGGUAGGGUUGAAGAUAUCGAAGCCCCUGAAGUGUUGUGUUAUGCUUUGUUUAGCACUUGAUGAACUAGCAAAGUAGCACGAGAUCGAGUAUGAACGGCUGCCUUAUUUCUGUCUGUAUUAUGGUAGAUUGGAUCAUAUAGGUUCAAACUGUGAGUUGAAACGAAAAGGGGAUAUUACUACGGAACGAUAUGGACGGUGGAAGACUAUGGUCAAAGAUGUUUUUAGUAUCAGGUUAGUGAACGGUUUUACAAGGAAUAGGAUUAGACUUGGAGGCGACGAGACACAGUUGACAAUUGUGCUUCACCCCGAAGGUGGUGGGCAUUGUUUGUCUGUGAGAAGCGAUGGGAAAUGGUCGGGGAGAGAUAACCAUAGAGGAAGAUGGUUUGGGAAGUGAUCAUGUGCUACGUCUAUUCAAAAAGAGACGAUUUUCUACUGAAGGUGAAGGCCAUACCACUACAGCACCGAUGGGGAAGAGGCCGGGUGAAACUCAUAAGUGUUUAUUAGUGAGCGUCCGAGGUUCAGGAACCCAAGAGGUACUGACAAAAUUGCCAGAGACUAUGAUUGUGGAGAAGGCAUUGGUAGACUACGUCGCUGUCGAACAACUACUGGGAUUACCUUUGUUCUCUAUGGGUAAAGAGCAGAUAGGCAGUAGGGGCCUGUAUGGUGGAAGGUGCUCGAUCAAAAAACAGAGCAACAAAAGAUACAGGCCACGUAGAGAUGGUGGAUGAGGGAAAUGAGAAGUGAUGUUACAAAAGCAAAAGACGAGCCAAGCUGGUCAAUCGGUGAUGAGUCCCGAGAAUUAGUCCUAUCACGAGCAAUGACAAUCUUAUGCUAGAAUGUUUAUGGUCUGGGCAAUCCACGAACAUUUCAAGCUAUGAGAUUCCUCAUUAUAGACAAAAACGAAAAAAAAACUACUCGUCAAAUGAAAUACAUCUAAUUGCUGCUAGGUUGGGCUGGCUGCUUUAAGGUGAGCAGAGUUGGCUUGUCUGGAGGGCUUGCCCUCCUUUGGCAAUAUGGGAUGAAUAUAAUGAUUCGUUCUUCAUCGCCAGGUCAUAUUGAUGCCAUCUUUGGAGGUUUGGAGCCAACUGCAUUUAGGUUUACUAGUUUUUAUGGAAACCCGUAUAUGAAGCUGCACAAGCAUUUGUGGGAUCUAUUACAGUGGAUUGCGGGUGAUGUGAUUGGCCCAUGGCUAGUGGGUGGUGAUUUUAAUGAAAUAGUUACGGCACAUAAGUAUUUACACUGCCGAUUUCUGGCUAUGUCAUAGAUAAGGGAUUGUGGUGCAGCUCUUAAGGAUUAUGGUAUGUCGACGGUAGGUUUCAGAGGAUAUAAAUUUAUUUGGUCCAACCAAUGGAGAGGUAGUGGUAAUGUUCAGCUUUGUUUGGAUAGGAUGGUGGCAAAUGAUUUAAUGUUUCUAGCUUUCCCGGAUAUGCUUACCCAUCAUCUUAAUUCUGUGGUAUCGGACCAUCUCCCUAUCCUCAAGGAGUGUGGGUCGCAUAGUUGGGCAUGGAGAAAGCAACGUUUUAUGUUCGAGGAACUUUGGACCACAUUUGAAGGUUGUCAGGAUACCAUUACUAGUGCUUGGAGGGUUGAUCAGGGGUCUGUUUUGAGCAAAUUGCAUUCUUGCCAGGCAUCCUUGACCCGGUGGAAUAAGGAGAAUGUUGGCUAUAUUUCUACAAAAGUAAGAUGUUUGCAGAGUAAGCUAGAUAUUUUAAUGGGAAAUGAGCAAGAUGCAACAAUUGCUCUUCAACAGAAAGCUCUCUCGCAGAGCCAUCUCUCUUCCCUCCGCGAGCCUCGUCAACGUCGCCGAGCCUUAUCCUAGUCUACGAUCGUGGUUUCUCUCUCUCAUGUUUUUCUGAUGGUUUAUCUAUCGUGGUUUCUAUAUUUUCCUUUUGUUUGUUGAUGAUGCCCGUCGUCGUUCACCUAGCUAUCUCUCUUUCCUCCACGAGCCUUGUCAGCACUUGUCGAGCUUCUAUGCCGUGCUACACUGCUGUUGUUCCCUUUGCAUACCCCUUCUUUCCCUAUGUCCCAAGUGCAUACCCCCUGUUUCCCCAUGUCGACGGUGGGUUUCAGAGGGUAUAAAUUUACUUGGUCCAACCGAUGGAGAGGUAGUGGUAAUGGUAAUGUUCACCUUCAUUUGGAUAGGAUGGUGGCAAAUUAUUUAAUGUUCUUAGCUUUCCCGAAUAUGCUUACCCAUCAUCUUAAUUCUGCGGUAUCAAACCAUUUCCCUAUCCUUACGGGGUGUGGGUCGCAUAGUUAGGCAUGGAGGAAGCGACGUUUUAUGUUCAUGGAACUUUGGACCACAUUUGAAGGUUGUCAGGAUACCAUUACUAGUGCUUGGAGGGCCGCUCAGGGGUCUGUUUUGAGCAAAUUGCACUCGCUGGUUUGUUAUUUCUGUGGAUGAUUGCACUUGCAUGAUGUGGUUGUACUUGAUGAAAAAUAACAGUGAUGUUUUUGCUGUUUUUAGAAUUUUCACCAGAUUGUUCUAUUGACAGGUAUAGUGCCAAACUUAUGGCCUGAGGUUUAACCUAGACUUAUGGAACUUUGGACCACAUUUGAAGGUUGUCAAGAUACCAUUACUAGUGCUUGGAGGGCCGCUCAGGGGUCUGUUUUGAGCAAAUUGCACUCGCUGGUUUGUUAUUUCUGUGGAUGAUUGCACUUGCAUGAUGUGGUUGUACUUGAUGAAAAAUAACAGUGAUGUUUUUGCUGUUUUUAGAAUUUUCACCAAAUUGUUCUAUUGACAGGUAUAGUGCCAUACUUAUGGCCUGAGGUUUAACCUAGACUUAUGAUAUUGAUUAUCAAGAGACGUUUGCACCGGUGGCUAAGAUCAAUACCAAUCGAGUUCUAUUACCUUUAGCUGUAAACUUUAAUUGUCCAUUCAAGCAAUAUGAUGUAAAAAAUGUCUUCUUACAUGGAGACUUACAUGAGGAAAUCUACAUGUCAUUGCCGCAAGGUUAUAAGGCUCCUAAUGAUGCUAGUGCUGUAUGUAAAUUGAAGAAGGCACUAUAUGGAUUGAAGCAGUCUCCGAGAGCUUGGUUUGGGAGUUUCAGUCUUUCCAUAAAAAAAAAAUUGGUUAUGAGUAGAGCAAUGCUGAUCGUACUUUAUUUUUAAAAGGAAGAAUGGUAAGUUAACAGCUCUUAUUAUUUGUGUGGAUGAUUUGAUUGUGAUUGGUGAUUAUCUUGAUGAAAUUGGCAAACUGAAAGGCUAUUUAGCUUCUGAGUUCGAUAUGAAGGAUCUCGGUGGAUUAAAAUAUUUUUUAGGUAUUGAGGUAACUCGUUAUGAACAGGGAAUUUUCUUGUCACAAAGAAAAUAUGUUCUUGAUUUGCUAAAGGAAACAGGUAUGCUUGGUGUGAACCGAUUGGUACUCCUAUAGAACGAAAUCAUGGUUUGGAAGAAUAUCCAGAUCAAGUUCCAAUUGAAGUCCUUAUUUGUCUUAAGGCAUAGAAAGGACCUCACUAUUCAGUUUACCGUUUCAAAUGACAAUUGUUUUUUUUAAGUCAUUUACUUUGUGCGCAAGUCUAUUUUUAUUUAUUUAUUUACAAGUCUUUUAGGGUUUUAACACUACUAAUAUUGGCACACUCGCAAAUUCACAUAAGCUCAACCCUGUUUUAAGGCUUGGACAUUUUUAGGGUAAAUAUAUUUUCGCACUCCCCGUGGGAUCUCUAAUACACAUAUUACUAACAACUUAUGUUGGUAUAUCCGUUACAUGGACUAAAGUUACUUCGUUUUACCAAAAAGAUUGUUAUAAGACAUUUCAAACUUGGAAGUUCUAAAAUUGUUGCAUAAUUGCAGAAUGGUACUGAGGAAGAUAAUAAAGGAGCUCUUACUUUAGCAAAUGCAAUAGAGAAGGCUCUGCAAUUGCAUGACAACCCUAAUUCUAUAGUGAAAGAAACAGCUAAAUCUAUUGCAGUAUUUUUAGCCACUCGAUCCUUUUAAGGUUUAGAUAUACAUUAUGAAGGUUCCUUGCCAGAACCAUAUUUUAUAGGGAGAUGUAGAAGGGUAGUAGGGUAUGAAGAUGAGAAAAACGGGCAUCGUGUUGAAGGAUGUCCCAUUGGUAGAUGUGUGGAAGGCAACAGGUGUAGGUGACCGCCCGAGAGGGGACAUGUAAAUGAAAGAGCAUACUAUUGAUGUCUCCCUUGCAGCAUGGAGUGCAUCUAUAUGAAACCGAGACUAUGUAAAGGGAGAAACAAGUUUACUAGGACUUGGGUUACAAGUUUACUAGGAAUAGGAAACCAAAACCCUACUAGAUUGGGCUAAGAAAUAUGCCCUUAAAGCCAUCAAAUUAUGUAAGAGCAACUCCACCCAUUUUCCAUGGCUAAGGGCAAGGGGGGGCUAGGGCAGUUACUAUUCAUGUAAAUAGUUGCUGCCUUUGCAAAAAGCAAUGUGUGUUUCCAUCCGUUGCCAUUUUUCUUUUUUUUUUUAACCUAAACAAUUAAUUUGGAUAAUAUUUUCAGAUAAGAUUUUUGGGUUCGUACAUGUCAAUAUUUAUUAUCAAAUUCAUAUCUCAUAAUCGGAUAAAAUUUUAGGAUAAGAUUUUCAGUUUCAAAUUUUAAAUUUCAAAUUUUAGAUAAAUUUCAGAACAUCUUCCACGGUUGCCCACGUGCCCCCGGCUUCGAUGGAAGAUGCCAUGAGAUGGUGAAUAAAAUGAAAAUUGGAAGUGAUGAAAAUUUUGUGUAGAAGGUGAAAAACAAUAGAAUUUAUGAAAUUGUAUGAGGAUUUGGUGUUCAAAGUGAAGAAGAAUGGUAGGUAUUUAUAGGAAAAAAGUUCAGAAUUUUUUGGUAAUUCUUUAAAAAAAUGUCAAAUUUUUUUUUUUUCACAUUUUUUUGCCCAAAAAAAACCCAGUCAUUGGAUUUGGAAAAAAAAAAAAAAAAAAAAAAAGCAUCCGCGCAACUGGAAUGCGGCACUUGUCAAGUGACCGUUGGUCGACGUCAGCAUUGACGUCACCUCGCCUCGGGCUGCUUCCCCCAGCUAGAUGGCCCUGUCGCGUGGCACCCGCCUUGGCUAGGCUGUCUUGGCCCGCUGGAACCCGCUGCUUGGGAUCGAGCCCUGUCCUGCCCGAGCUUGGGUUUGUUGUUGGACUUGCUCUAAUAGUUAGAGUUAAAGACAUCUUUAAUAAAAGACAUAUUAUGUUAUCAAUAGGCAAGAAAGGUUGUUUUAUACAAUAAAUCAUCCUAUAUUAUCUUUCAAUAUGGAGAACAACCAUAGUCCAAGGAAUACACAAGUGGAUAUGAGAGCUAUGUAAUGAGAUUGCAUACAUGGAGACUUCUCAUCAUCCCUAAAUCCUAAAUAUGUUCAUGGUAAUAGGAAUAUUGAUUGGGCAUCAAUAUUCUGCAAAGACUUGUACACACAGUAUCGUCCCUAUAUGUAGGGAAUGGCAAGGUCUCAAGUCAUUAAGUGUGGAGACACAUCGAUAUGUGUAUAUGUGCUUGUAGAAGAACAAGUACACUGAAGGCGAUCCAACACAUGAGUUACAACAUGGAAGUCUUUACUUACAUGUCAAGCUGGAAGUCAUAAUUUGCAAUGGUGCAAACUAAUCCUUAGACCUGAGGCAUCAUAGAUGUUUUGUGGCUAUGUUGUUAAUCUUUGAGGGCACUAUACGGUCAUGCUGAAUUAGGCAUAGCUUAAAGGUGCUCAUCAGGAUUCUCAAUAGUGUCAUGGAAGUAAAUGAAUGUACAAUAAGGAAUCUCUACUCUCAGUAAAGGAGAGAGAAUACUCCAAAAUAUGAUUGGUCAAAUCUCUAAGCAGAGUAGUGGAUAAGACUUGAAAGAAGAAGUCUUCAAGUGUUACCAGGAUAAUCAUAUAAAAUGAAUGAUUCACAUUAGGAUAUUGACAAUCGGAUUCCAUGAUCUAAUAACGUGAAUAAGGAGUAUUGACAUAAGAGAAUGAUUCAAUUGCACGGUUAUUCCAAUUUAAAUAGGUUCUUACACAACGUCUCAUUUAGCUCGGAUAACUGUGACUUGCUGCUAGGCGACAACCAUGGUUUGUGAAUGUCCUAAAAGGUUUCAAUUAACCUUUAUUAAUAGAAAGAAUUAAAUUGUGGAAUUUAAUUUAUAUAUUCAAAGAAACUAGGCUAAGAUACUUUGUUUAAAAUGAAAUUGGUUUAGCUCAACUAGUAUAAACAAAAUGAAUAUGACAUUUAUAAUGUUUUUGUUGUAUAGGUUGUGGCUAAAUUUCAUUUCCUAAGCAUUAGAUGCAUGUUUCCUUCACUUGGCUACGUAAGAAUUCAUUGUCCAAUCGAACCUUCUAGUUCCUGGAUGCUCCAUAGAAAUCCAUUGUUAUUCCUUUCUUCCACCGAGAAAGUUUCAUUUCAAAUCACAAGAGAAAUUUCUCUCUCUUUUUUUAUAAGCACCGACCGUUCGUCAUGAUUGGGUGACGGUUCGCCUGGAGCAAAAUUCACAACUCGAGCCUCUCUACCAAAAUCCAACUGGUUGGCUGGCCACACCGGCCGGUAGCUUUCUUGCUGCUGCCAAAUCCUACGACUUCUUCUCCUCUCUUGUUGCUCCUUUUCAUGCAGCACCUUGGUUCCUCUUCUUCCUCCUACAUUAUGGUGAGCCAAAUCACAACACUAGCUACAUGUAAUGAGCAACUAAGGCAAGGGUGGAACUACUUCCAAGGCUAUAUAUAUGUUUAACUUGUUUUAUAUAUAGCCCAGUACGUACUAACUUAUUCAAGUCCAAAAAAGUCUAAGUCCUUAUGAAUUUAGUUGGAGAGCAUCAAUUUGAUAAUAGGUACACUUUCAAUUAUGUUGUUGAACAUAUUUUCAUUUUGAUAAUAUGUGUUUUUUAGUUGCAUUUAAUAUGUAUUGGUUUUAAGUUUUUUUUUAGGACCUUUCCUUUUGAGAGGGCCGAUAAUAUACUAAACUCACACACACUAUAUUCAUACUAGGACUUGAACCUAGGACCUUGCUUGGGAGAGCAGUUGCUCCAAACCACCACACUAGUGGGUCCUUUUGCAUAUAUGUUUUAAGUUAAAGCUUAUUGGAAAUGAACAUUUAGCUCUGCACUCAAGGACCUAAGUUCGAUUUCCCACUCACCCAAUAUCGCUUAUAUAAGAAGGAAAAAACUUAUUGGAAAUUAGUCAAUUGAACUAUGAACUAGUGUAUGUUUUUAUUUAUUUAUAACAAAACAAUACAAGCAACAGUCUAAACUACAAGUGGGAGGGGAGUUUCUCACACACACACAUUAUCAAGGUGUCAUGGAGGUUCAAACAUGAGACCAAUGGUUUGCGAGUCAAGGUCCCUUUCUAUUGGGCUAGACCCCGUUGAAGAACUAGCGUGGUUAUAUGAUUUAAUGUUUGCUUUUAUUUCUAGAAAGACUAUAGAAUCUGGAAGUACCAAAAAAAUAAAAUAUCAUUAAAUUUUAAGCUAAUAAAUUUAGCUAGACUACCCGUAAAAACAUUUCUGGUUCCGCCCUUGAACUAAGGUCUUGUUUGAUGGCUUAGUUUCUUAGUUUUUGGUUACUUUUCAUCAAAGAUAGUGAGAGGGGAGACAGUAAAUCUGAAUUGUGAAGCAUAAGAUACAUAAGCCAGACUUUUUCCAUUCACAUCAAGAUAAAAGUUUUCUCUGUCUGCAGAUGACUGCACUUUAAACUUCCUUGCCUAACUUCUAUGAUUUUUACUUCCCUUUUAUAUUUAACUUGCAUUUUAGGUAUUAAUAUGGAGUUGUAAUUACAAUUAUGGCAGUUAAUGAAAUGCUUGGAAUACAUUAUAAAUAAAAUAUGAAGUCUAAUGGCAACGAUGUAAAAACAUAGGAAUAUUAUGACAUCUUAUAUCUUACUGGUAAUUUAAGUUUAAAAUUGAGUUUUCCACAUAGAUUUAUAAAAUGAUGGGUAUAUGUCUAGGAAAUAAAAAUGGUAGGGACCUAUAUUGGAAAAACCCUAAAUUUUAUUAAGAAACCACAAAAGGGCACAACAAUACAACAAAAAGUAAAAUCCAACCAAGCUCAGCAACAAGGAUAUACUUUUUUAGUGGAAAAUGUUGGGAACACUGACUUAUAUCAUGAUUUGAUUUUUCUUUGGCCUACAAAUCAAUUCUUUUAUGUGGAAAAUUCUUUUGACUUUGUCACUCAAAUUGUACAAAUAUGGUUGUGUGGCUUUUAAAAGGCAACGUGACGUGUGGGAUGGGCUGCCAAUUUUGAAACUUAUUAGCUUCUUUGAGAAGCUGGUGCAACAUUUAUGCGCGUGAACACUUGGCGGAUUGAUCCAUCAGAGAAGACAAAAUAAUGGUGUCAUUUGGACAGACUUGGGCAAUUGAUCCGGCAACAAGUCUUUCAUGGUUCCUUUAGCCUCGUUUGUUACGGAAGAUUGUCUUGGCAUGAACUAUUCUAAGAAAUUGUCUUGGCCUGAAUUGGCUUAAGUUGAAUAACACUUAACCUAUGUUUGGUGAUGCUUGGAUUGGGACUAAAUUUAAAUUGAUUAAAAUAUCAAUAAAUAGGACGAUAUAUUUCAACUUCUGUUAUACUGUACAAACGUGGGUUAAAAAUAUUCCAAUUUUUUUUUUUUUGCUAGUAAAUAGACCAGACCCGACCCGUUAAUUCUAGGCCAAAGUUCCCAAAGUUUUAUUUAAUAAGGUUUAUUUUUUAGGUUUAUAUAGGUUUUAAAUUUAAGGGCAUUUGUGUCUAUUUAAGUGAAUUUUUUACUAUAUUUGAAAUAUUUUAUAAAAACUGAUAUUUUUGAAAUUAAGGAUCAAGUUUUGAUAAAUUCUCUAAUAAAUACAUUAGUUUUAAGUUUUAGAUUUAUUACAUUUUUUUAUUUCUUGCUUGCAUUUAUUAACUGUCAUUUCUUUAUCUCUUUUUCGAAGCCUCAAAAGUCCAGUCAAUGGAUGGGGCCGUCUGAGUUGUUUUGUACGGUGGAAAACGUAUAAACUGGAUUUCGUGUCCUGGACUUCAAUAAUUUUUUCAUAUCUUUUAUUUAUUUAAACAACUUGGACUUCGUAGAAAUGGGGCUUUUUCUUUGGGUCAAGAAGUCAGUCAAUGGAAUACGUGUUCUCUCCGCCAUCGAUGGGGCAGCCUCUGUUUACCUCUCCUACUUUUGGGUGAAGAAGUCAGUCAAGUCUUUAUUUAUAAGAUUUUUGAAGUUGUUAAGAUAUCUACUGUGGCCAACAAAAUUCACGAACUUGCUUUCAGAAAAUAUUCAGAUAACAAUUAUUUAAUUGAGUAGACAAAUAAAUUCAAAUUCAAGUGAUGAUUUUCGCAGAGAUCAUCGCUGAAGAAUAUCAAAAAAAUAUACAAUUUGAAUCAUAAAAAAAUAAUAUUAUAUAAGUCCUACAACAGUGUUCCACAAACAAAAAAAUCCUCAAAUGAAGCUUUUAUGAGUAGGUACGAGCUUUAUUAAUUAUCCCUGACAAGAUUGUAGACCACCAUGGAAAGUCUCCUGCGGUAGUAGAUGUAAUUUGGGAAUCCAAAGAAACUAAUUUGCACGCCAGACAUGCAAGUCAAUGUCAACUCAAGUCAUACACGAUUUCUGAUAAAUUCAUGUCGGAAAAUGAAUUUCUAGGGAAGUUAUGAGCAUUUCAGACUCUAUGUUUCUCUAUAAAUAUCCAACAACAAAUCUUAACCUUCAUUCUCAUUCUUCACUAGCCCUUCACCAAAAUGGCUUUCUACAAUACAACAAAACACCUUCUAAGCCUCACUGCCCUAGUCUUUGUGGCUGGAGCACUGCUAAAAAAUGUGACAGCACAAAAUUGUGGCUGUGCCCCAGAUCUAUGUUGUAGCCAGUAUGGCUACUGCGGCAGCAGCGAAGACUAUUGCGGCCCGGGUUGUCAACAAGGCCCUUGUACUGGCGGUGGCGGCGGCACACCUACCACACCAAGCCCCAGUGGUGGUGGUGGUUCGUCGGUGGCUGAUAUUGUAACCCAAGAAUUCUUCAAUGGAAUCAUUAACCAGGCUCCUUCAGACUGUGUUGGGAAGAACUUCUACACUCGAGAUGGUUUUAUUAACGCUGUGAACUCAUAUUCUGACUUAGGUAGACGUGGUUCGGUUGACGAGUCUAAACGGGAAAUCGCAGCUUUCUUUGCUCAUGCGACUCAUGAGACUGGCUGUAAGAUAUUCCUUUCCUCCCCUCUCAUACAUACAAUGUGACAUGAACAAAUUAUAACUCCCCUCUCUCAUUAAAAACGUGCAUAUGUUACAUGUUGUGAAAUUAUAUGUUUCACAACGUGCAAUAAGAGCACGUUGUAUUAUACAACUUUUAGCAACAUGCAUUUAGUGUGCGUCGUCGAAAUGCGUUUAGUGCAUAUCAUGUCUGAAAGUUUCUAUAGUUGCUAAAUAUUUUCCAUGUAUUAAGCUCCACAAUUACCGAAUGAAUUUCCUCAUUAUGAUAUGCACAGAUAUUUAUGUCAAAUAGUUGAUAACCUAUAAAAAUUCAAAACCCCUAUUUCUCAUAUAAAAAUUUGAUGGGUCUUAUAUAUUGUCAACAUAAAUAGAACAAACAAAAGAAAACACAGAUGAACCUAACAAAAUAACUUUUUCUUUUUUGUUCAGAUUUUUGCUUCAUAGAAGAGGACGAGGCGACUCGUGAAACCGCCUGCCAGCCAAGCACAGAGUAUCCAUGCAACCCCGACAAAAAAUACUAUGGGCGUGGACCAUUCCAAAUUACAUGGAAUUACAAUUAUGGACCUGCUGGAAAAAGCAUUGGCUUGGACCUUUUAAACUCUCCAGAAACCGUGGCCUCAGACGCUGCUGUUGCGUUCAAGACUGCCAUUUGGUAUUGGGUGGGAAAUGUUCGUUCUGUUUUAAGUCAAGGAUUUGGAGCCACAACUCGAGCCAUUAAUGGUGCUAAGGAAUGCGAUGGUAAAAGACCUGACCUAGUUCAAGCCCGGGCCGCCUUGUACCAGAGUUAUUGCAGCCAACUUAAUGUUGAUCCUGGCGCUAAUCUCAGUUGCUAGAAUGCCAAAACUUAUUAAUUAUAUAGAGAUUAUCGUUAAUUGCCCACUUUAAUAUGAUAUAUAUCAAUAUAUCAUUUUUUUUUUUU